rnacentral:tRNA from 1 species
GGCGAGGUAGCUCAGUUGGCAGAGCAGUGAGCCCAUAAUUCACGGGUCGUGGGUUCAAGUCCCACCCUCGCCA